CGUGCCAGCAGCCGCGGUAAUACAUAGGUCACAAGCGUUAUCCGGAAUUAUUGGGCGUAAAGCGUUCGUAGGCGGUUUGUUAAGUCUGGAGUUAAAGACUGGGGCUCAACCCCAGCCCGCUCUGGAUACUGGCUGACUAGAGUUACAUAGAGGUAAGUGGAAUUCUUAGUGGAGCGGUGGAAUGCGUAGAUAUUAGGAAGAACACCAAUGGCGAAGGCAGCUUACUGGAUGUACACUGACGCUCAGGGACGAAAGCGUGGGGAGCAAACAGGAUUAGAUACCCUGGUAGUCCACGCCGUAAACGAUGAUCAUUAGCCGCUAGAAUAUUUAGUGGCGCAGCUAACGCAUUAAAUGAUCCGCCUGAGUAGUAUGCUCGCAAGAGUGAAACUUAAAGGAAUUGACGGGGACCCGCACAAGCGGUGGAGCAUGUGGUUUAAUUUGAAGAUACGCGUAGAACCUUACCCACUCUUGACAUCUUCCGCAAUACUAUGGAGACAUAGUGGAGGUUAACGGAAUGACAGAUGGUGCAUGGUUGUCGUCAGCUCGUGCCGUGAGGUGUUAGGUUAAGUCCUGCAACGAGCGCAACCCCUGUCUUUAGUUACUAACGGAUAAUGCCAAGGACUCUAGAGAGACUGACUGGGUAACCAGUAGGAAGGUGGGGACGACGUCAAAUCAUCAUGCCUCUUACGAGUGGGGCAACACACGUGCUACAAUGGACGGUACAAAGAGAAGCAAUAUGGUGACAUGGAGCAAACCUCAAAAAACCGUUCUCAGUUCGGAUUGAAGUCUGAAACUCGACUUCAUGAAGUUGGAAUCGCUAGUAAUCGUAGAUCAGCUACGCUACGGUGAAUACGU
rnacentral:rRNA from 1 species